rnacentral:rRNA from 1 species
GACGAACGCUGGCGGCGUGCUUAACACAUGCAAGUCGAGGGGGAGUAGGGGCAACUCUACUUCACCGGCGAACGGGUGCGUAACACGUGAGCGACCUACCCUGGUGUGGGGGAUAGCCGGCCCAACGGCCGGGUAAUACCGCAUACGCUUGUUUGACCACAUGGCCGGACAAGCAAAGUCUUCGGACGCACUGGGAGGGGCUCGCGGCCUAUCAGCUUGUUGGUGGGGUGAUGGCCUACCAAGGCGACGACGGGUAGCCGGCCUGAGAGGGCGACCGGCCACACUGGGACUGAGACACGGCCCAGACUCCUACGGGAGGGCAGCAGUGGGGAAUCUUGCGCAAUGGGCGAAAGCCUGACGCAGCGACGCCGCGUGAGGGAUGACGGCCUC